GAUGAACGCUGGCGGCGUGCUUAACACAUGCAAGUCGAGCGAUGAAGUUUCCUUCGGGAAACGGAUUAGCGGCGGACGGGUGAGUAACACGUGGGUAACCUGCCUCAUAGAGUGGAAUAGCCUUCCGAAAGGAAGAUUAAUACCGCAUAACGUUGAAAGAUGGCAUCAUCAUUCAACCAAAGGAGCAAUCCGCUAUGAGAUGGACCCGCGGCGCAUUAGCUAGUUGGUGGGUAACGGCCUACCAAGGCGACGAUGCGUAGCCGACCUGAGAGGGUGAUCGGCCACAUUGGGACUGAGACACGGCCCAGACUCCUACGGGAGGCAGCAGUGGGGAAUAUUGCACAAUGGGGGAAACCCUGAUGCAGCAACGCCGCGUGAGUGAUGAAGGCUUUCGGAUCGUAAAGCUCUGUCUUUGGGGAAGAUAAUGACGGUACUCAAGGAGGAAGCCACGGCUAACUACGUGCCAGCAGCCGCCGUAA
rnacentral:rRNA from 1 species